GAAGCCAUUGUGCCUUCCACCCAAGAUGGCAGGAGGGAGCAUCAAGUCCUAGACCCUGAACACCUGAAUAUCCAACAACAGGGGAUUCAAGUGAAUCAUGACGUAUUUCACAGCACCAAAGAGCGUGCUUGUGGCAAGGAUGUACUCCAUGGGAAAUGCCUUUUUCACUCAUAUCCUGGGUAAUGUCUAAAUCUGCACAUAUAAUACGAUCAUUUUAGUUUUUAGAGCUAGUGUAGGUGUGUGUGUACAAUGUAUAUGUGAAGGACUAGACGGAGAAACAGAAACUCUAUCUAUAAUUGUCUCCGAGAGCUGGAAUUAUGAUGGAGUGCUCACUUCACCUGUGUCUUUAUGCAUCAUCCAAAAUUUCUCCAGUGAUCAUUUAAGACUUUUAAGGUAAGAAAAACACUUAACAUUUUAAACAGUCAUAGAAAUGUUACCUAUUUAUUUUUUCCCAGUAUCACACAGCUGCUAGAAGCUAAUAGAAACUCCAGAGACACUGGAAACUGUCUCUUAAACCCCUAGCCCCGAUUACGUCCCACGUUAGGUCUACAAAUAAACUGAGGAAGCAUGUAAGGUAUUUAAUAAGCUGCCGGUAUAUAUUCCUGUUCUAUGCCAGGCAGGCACUGAGCUAAACACUUUCUUGCAUAUCAUCUCAAAUUCUCCCAGAACCCUAUAAGGUUUUUCUCCCCAUUUUAUGGAGGAGAAAACUGAAGCGUCGGGAGGUUAGCUGACUGCUCAGAGUCCCACGAGGGCAGAGCUGGAUUCGAAGUCGGACCUGCCUGGCUUCACGGACCACCUUCCUUCGCCACGGCCCGCUGAUGAAGGUGUUGACUGUUUUUCCUCUGACACAGCAGCCUGGGACUGCUCUCCAGGCCUGAAAUGUCCUUUUUCCUUAGUUUGCUCCCAAGGCAGAGGAUAGAUGUCCCCCAGAUUGGGACUGUCUCAUCUCCCUACCGUCAGCCAGCCCCAGCAUGUAGUUGGUGGGCGUGGAGACUGCCACUUCUCCACACCCUGUCUCUGGCAGGACAGAGCCAAAGAACACCCCUCUUUGAGAAAAGCUUAACCCCAGAACACAGUUUUCUCUUAGGGAGUCCUGGGCUUGAAUCUGUCAUGCGCUGUGGGACCUUGGCCAGGUCACCUAACCGGAAGCUCUGCCUCCUUCUGUGCAUUGCCGCUGUAACCGAACUCAAGGGGUCGCUGCUUGGGGUGCAUCCAAUUGAACACAACCCGAGGAAGUGUUGAAAGCAAAGACCUUUUAUUACUUGUCACAAUGACACCAGCAGCAUCAACUCCAGCC